UACACCGGACCUAAUCUUAUACCCCUUGAGCAUCAAACUCCAUGCGUACUUUCUGCAGCUAUUUGUUCUCUUUCUGCAAAAGUGCAAGAUUUGUGUGCGGUGGAGUGCGGUGUCAGUGAGCAGCUGCUUCUCCUUCAGCAUGAGUUGUUCAGCACACAGACUUCAUUGGCUACUGCUUGGACAAAACCACCCUGCAAAGCUGAGGCGAGGAGCAGCGAGGACACAGGCUGCCAAAUACAAACCUCCUGUUUCAGUUUAGUCAGAAUUCAACAAAGCAAGAAGAAACAGGCUGAAGAGCAACUACCUAAAUACAUGCAAUAACAUGGAGAGUGGGAAGCGGAACUGAGAGAACAAUAAAUGAAGAAACAAUGAAAAGGUCAAGCACUUAUUCAGAAUUCCUCAUGAAUACCACUGAAGGAAAUCUUGCUUAUAGUGGAAAAACCCAAACAUGAGAUGCAAGUACUACAUCAAAACAGAACAAAGCCCCAUUUUUGUGUCUGUCUUCAGGAGAAUGCACUGAAUUAAAAAAAAAAGGUACAUUUUGUGCAAAUGACGUUGGAGCAUUUGAUGCCAAAACAUGAUCUUCCAUCCUUCCUUUUCAUAUAGUGCUAGUUCAGUCAGAAAUGGGUGGAUGGCAGAACCCUCAUUUGCUGUGCAGGUGAGCUGGGGCAAUACAUGUGUGGUGAUCAUGAUUCUCCAACUGCAGAGUUCCCAGAGCAUCUGGAGCAGAGUGUUCCCUGACUGUGGGGGGCUCACAGGUGGCUCUUGUGCCCACACACAUACUGAGGCUGGGUGGGGGCAGAGGGCAGGUGUGCCCACGUGUAGGUGAAGAGUUUUGAGGAAAAUGGAAGAAGGAAAUUGUCAUCUCAGGGGUUGUGAAGUCUAAUACUAUUUGAGAUACUUUUACAGCCAUCAGACCAAGCUCUCUUGGAAAGGACAAAAGCAAGCCAACAUGGCAUAUUGAAACUCCCAUAUGUGGUACCUUCAGAGAUUCCCUUCAGCAGUGGUGUAUGCCAUCACUACUCCUUACUCAGGAAAAUUUAUGUCCUUUUCUCAAAUAUUCUUCAGUGCUGUUUAAAUCCCUCAUCUUCUCCAUCCCCUUCCUACAGUGCAUAUGUUCCUCUGCUCUCUGGUGGUUCUCCUUCGGUAUGUGUUUCCUUGGCAUGAGGUCCUUUCCUCCUCUGGACUUCCUGCAUCAUCACCUUCUCCCCCUGGCAAUUCUGGCCCCAUUGGUUUUUUGUAUAGAUCUUGUACAGUUUUUUUCUUCAUGAUCUAGAAGAAGCAAAA